rnacentral:rRNA from 1 species
UACGUAGGGGGCAAGCGUUGUCCGGAAUCAUUGGGCGUAAAGCGCGUGUAGGCGGUUCGGUAAGUCUGCUGUGAAAGUCCAGGGCUCAACCCUGGGAUGCCGGUGGAUACUGUCGGACUAGAGUCCGGAAGAGGCGAGUGGAAUUCCUGGUGUAGCGGUGAAAUGCGCAGAUAUCAGGAGGAACACCAAUGGCGAAGGCAGCUCGCUGGGACGGUACUGACGCUGAGACGCGAAAGCGUGGGGAGCGAACAGG